GCCACCUCCUUGUUCAGCUCGUCCCCUGCUCCAUUCUUCUUCCCUCCUUUUCUCCUGAGAUCACUUUCUUAAUCAGCCACCUGCAGAAGAACCCCCAUCUCAGGUUCCACUUUUAGGGAGCUCAACUUCAGACAGGAUUGGGUAAGAAAUUGGGGAAAAGGCAAUAUGAAUCCCAGUUUUCCUUUUGGGUAAGUGGGUGGCUGGAUGUGCUGAACACCGAGUAGAGGAGGCUUAGAAGAGGAUGAGGUUUGUGAGAGCAGAGAAGCUCAGUUUUGUUUACUGGAGAAGCAGAUGUCAUAUCCAGGAAGCAGCUGGAUACCUGCGGGUCUGCAGCCAGGAGAGAGCUCUAAAUGUUGUCACCAAACGUGACUAAAUGACAGCUGAAACCCUGAAGUUGGCGAGGAAGAAAUCAUGGAGAAAAACAGAGUGGUCUCAGGAUGAACUUGGAGGAAUGUGAGCAUUAUACACACAGCCAGGGGCUCCAAGGAUGGCCGAUGAGGAACAGUGUCUGAAGUAGUGUUUCCCAAAGAGUCACCCCUCUGGCUAUGUGCAAAUCCAUGGUUCAGACUCCAGACUGUGGAAUCAAAGUUUCUGGAGUGAAUGAAACGAACCACAUUUUUAUUGGCUUCUGGCUUACUCAGUCCUCCAGAAAUCUAGAUGCUCUUUCAAAGUGUAAGAUAAGUUUUCCUUCUGCUUCAUCGUGGCAGAGACUACUCACAUGUUCAUGAAACCCAUUUAUUCUCCAAAUCUCCCAGUCUGCCUUGCCAUUAGGAGUGGCUGUGUGAUUGAAUUCCAGCUACUGGGAUGUGAUAAAUGCUUGGCCUCCAAAAUAUCUUUCAUUACAUUUUCAUUGCUUUCUCUUCCCUUUCUUUAGAGAUGAAUGUCAGUGCCACAAAUGACCACAGACCACCCCACCCCUGGUUGCUGCUGGCUUUGGAUUGGACUUUUAGUGAACAAGAAAUAAAUUUUUAUUGUCUCAAGUCAUGGAAAUCUUGGGAUUUGUCUAUUACACCAGUCAGUUUUACCUUAACAAACAUACUUGCAAUCUCCAUUAGACAUAGAGAAUAUUUGUGCUCAUUUGCAUGAUGAGAUGAUUUCUUUCCUUGUGUAAAUGGUGACCAGAUGACAACAUUUCUCACAACUGUUGAUAAUGUCAUCUGCCUUCAGUUACUAAUGGUUGUCAUUAGGGUGAAGCUAACUGUCUCAGUUCAAAUGUUACCUCUUUACAAAGGCUCUCCUGGCCUCUCUAUUCAAAGUAUUCUACAACUCACACUCCAGGUAGUUUUAUCCCAUUAAUAAUUUCAGUGGAUGUAUUAGUCUAUUUUCAUACUCCUGAUAAAGACAUAUCCAAGAAUGGGAAGAAGAAGAGGUUUAAUGGACUUACAGUUCCAUGUGGCUGGGAAAGCCUCACAAUCAUGGUGGAAGGCAAGGAGAGGAG
rnacentral:lncRNA from 1 species